rnacentral:rRNA from 1 species
GACAGAGGUGCCGAGCGUUAGGCGGAAUCAUUGGGCGUAAAGCGCGCGUAGGCGGCUCGGAAAGUCGGUCGUGAAAUGCCGGGGCUCAACCCCGGGACUGCGUCCGAUACUCCCGAGCUGGAGGCAGGUAGGGGAGAGUGGAAUUCCUGGUGUAGCGGUGAAAUGCGCAGAUAUCAGGAAGAACACCCGUGGCGAAGGCGGCUCUCUGGGACGGUACUGACGCUGAGACGCGAAAGCGUGGGGAGCGAACAGG